UAGGAAGCUGAAGUGCGUCAGUAAAAUAAAGUUAGAACUAUGACCCAGGAAGUAGAAGAAGGUGGUCAGUGAGUGAAACAUGAGCUUAUGACCUAGAAAAUAGAAUCAGGUCAGCAAAAGCAAGACAGCGUAUUAGUUAGAAAGUAGCCAUUGGAAGUCAAGAAUAAUGUUUUCUUUAUUUCUGUGUCUUUAUGGCAAACAAAGGCUGAUAACAUCAGGAGAUUAUUUGAAGAAAAAUGAUUAAUUUCUUUUCUUAAGGCAGGGUCUCACUCUACUGUUUAGGCUGGAGUAUAGUGAUGAGUAAUGUGAUCAUCGCUCACUGCAACCUCGAACUUCUGGGCUCAAGGGAUCCUUCUGCCUCAGCCUCCUGAGUAACUGGAACUUCAGGUGCUUGUCACCACACCCAGCUAGUUUAUUUUAUUUUUUGUAGAGAUGGGGUCUCACUAUGUUACCUGCUACCAAGACUGGUCUUCAGGGUCUCGAAUGACCCUCCUGCCUUCGCUUCCCAAAAUUUUGGGAUUACAGGGAAGAAAAUAAGAAGAAAAAAAAAUUCACUCUGCAAGAUUCUCUAACCCAGAAACCCAAGAAGGAAAGAAAGAGCUGCAUGGUGACCCUGACAAGUCCCUUUUUCUCAACCCUCAUCUGAAAUAGAUGCAUACUACAAGGUCAGAGACUCCAGUUCCAAUCACUGACUUUGCCAACCUGUAUUUCUAAAGUGCUUUCUCAGAAGCACUGCAAAUGGCUGGUUAAAAAAAAAAAAAAAAAAAUCCUUUCCGUGCAAUGGGACAAGAAAAACCUAAUAAUAGAGCCACAUGGCAUUCCAUUCCUUAUAUAAA
rnacentral:lncRNA from 1 species